rnacentral:rRNA from 1 species
GAUGAACGCUGGCGGCGUGCCUAACACAUGCAAGUCGAGCGGCAGCGAGGGGUGCUUGCACCCUGUCGGCGAGCGGCGGACGGCUGAGUAACGCGUGGGAACGUGCCCCAAAGUGAGGAAUAACUGCCCGAAAGGGUAGCUAAUACCGCAUAUUAUCUUCGGAUCAAAGGAUUUAUCCGCUUUGGGAGCGGCUCGCGUCGGAUUAGGUAGUUGGUGAGGUAAUGGCUCACCAAGCCGACGAUCCGUAGCUGGUCUGAGAGGAUGACCAGCCAGACUGGAACUGAGACACGGUCCAGACUCCUACGGGAGGCAGCAGUGAGGAAUCUUCCACAAUGGGCGAAAGCCUGAUGGAGCAACGCCGCGUGCAGGACGAAGGCCUUCGGGUUGUAAACUGCUUUUAUAAGUGAGGAAUAUGACGGUAACCGAUGAAUAAGGAUCGGCUAACUACGUG